UCCUCCUCUCAUAUGCCAGGUACCAUGUCUCUAUCAUCUGGGCUUUCUAAGGCUAUAAACUCUUCCCCUCACUCUGCUGGAUCAGAAAACAUGUGAUCUAUCUCUCCACAUGACAGCAACGUUUUCUUCUCUUCCUCAGUUGCGUAGCGGGGGAGAACCAUCAGGGGGCCCUGCGCUGCUGAGGUCGGUGCUGUGGAGAUCCCUCCACUUCCUGGUUUACGGGCUGCUACAUGACAGCGCCGACAGCCCCAGCCAUUAGAAGAUUAGCCGGAUCGUUCACUGGCGUGCCAGGAUGGAUCAGGAAUAAAAUGAUUCCAGACACUCUAUAGAAAUCUAGGAGGUGGUGACAGAAUGCAGCAAGGAUGACGUCUUCUCUCUGAGGCAUCCUGCCCCCUGCCGUCUGAAAUGGACUGCUCUACUGAAUCAGUCUGAAUCCACUGAGUGACAAACUCACAGGCACUACAUUGACACCUGUCAGUCCAUUUAUACAGGCCAGGGGUAAACAUCACUUGAUGAAGUCAAACAGACUGACUUCUAAGAGAUGCCCAAAGAAAGCUCAUACAUAUGAUGGAAUGAUGUUUAAAAAUGGAGGGUGCAGACGGACAGACGUACUGAUGGAUGAAGGUAGAGACAGGCAGAAAUAUAGAUUUGCAGACAGAUAAAAGUGCGUAUGUCCUGAGAUCCUAACAUCAGAAACCUUGUCCUCAUUUGUGUCUUACCUCAGAAGAUGAAUGGAGCCAGUGUCAGUGUAAAAUAACGAUUCAGUCUCUUAGUGAAAUUGUUCAUAUGAUGGACCUGUGCAGCCAUUUACAUCAAUGAAACCUGUCAUUUUCCCUCCCAAGUCAAAUGACUCUUUUCAUCUUUUCAUGCAUUCUUCAACCCAAGAGCACUCAGGCAUUUGGCAAACCCAACGCUCCACUGGUCUGACACUACACUCUCAGAAAAAAAUGGUUACAAAAUGGUUCUGCGGCUGUCUCCAUAGGAGAACCCUUUUAAACUCAACUCCCUUUUUAGUUUCAGGUAGAACUAUUUUGGGUUCCAUGUAGAACUCUCUGUGGAAAGGAUUCUGCAUGGAACAGAAAGGGGUUCUUCAAAAGGUUCUCCUAUGGAGACAGCCGAAGAACCCUUUUUGGUUCUAGAUAGCAACUUUUUUUUCUAAGUGUAAGAGCAAUGUCAAACGGCAUUAUGACCGAACACACAUAAUCGAUAGACAGAUUGACAUUUUAAGCACAUUUGUAUCUAAGUAGUGUAUAAGGUGGUUUAUGUCAGCAUAUAUUAACAGAAAGACAGACCAAAGACAGACUGUGUGGAAGAAUAGUGACAUCAUUCUUCGUGUUCAGAAAGACAAAAACUUGAUUCAGGCUCCACACAAGCAGUUGGACCAAUUCCGUGCUGUAGGGAGUGGUGAGGUCCAUUGUUGGCAAAGUACACUACUAGGGAAAGGGGGAUACCUAGUCAGUUGUACAACUGAAUGCAUUCAACUGAAAUGUGUCUUCCGCAUUUAACCCAACCUCUGCAUUUAACCCAACCCCUCUAUUAGUCCAUGGGGUGGCAAAGGUUUAAUGAUGUUAAAUUGUUCUCCACCAACUCCUGAUCAAAUUGAUAUAUGAUAACCAUAUAAGUUUUUCACACGUGUGUAUAUCUUAAUGUAUAGGGAAUCUAUGCAAUAGAAUGUUUGCAGGCUGAUAAAAGAAUGCUGAGACAAGUUGGAAUUUCCACAUGCACAUUGAAAAUGACUGUAUCAAACAACAAUGGAACAUUCUACUCGGCUAUUCUCAUAUUAAAAACCAUGGGAUAUAGUACAGUGAUGCUAUCAAGAGCAGUGUACGGGUUUCUUCUUUAUUCUCAUAUUAAAAACCAUGGGAUAUAGUACAGUGAUACUAUCAAGAGCAGUGUACGGGUUUCUUCUUUAUUCUCAUAUUAAAAACCAUGGGAUAUAGUACAGUGAUACUAUCAAGAGCAGUGUACGGGUUUCUUCUUUAUUCUCAUAUUAAAAACCAUGGGAUAUAGUACAGUGAUACUAUCAAGAGCAGUGUACGGGUUUCUUCUUUAUUCUCAUAU